rnacentral:rRNA from 1 species
CCUACGGGCGGCAGCAGUGGGGAAUAUUGGACAAUGGGGGGAACCCUGAUCCAGCCAUGCCGCGUGUGUGAAGAAGGCCCUCGGGUUGUAAAGCACUUUCAGUGAGGAAGAACGCCUGGUGGUUAAUACCCAACAGGAAAGACAUCACUCACAGAAGAAGCACCGGCUAACUCCGUGCCAGCAGCCGCGGUAAUACGGAGGGUGCGAGCGUUAAUCGGAAUCACUGGGCGUAAAGCGCGCGUAGGUGGCUUGAUAAGCCGGUUGUGAAAGCCCCGGGCUCAACCUGGGAACGGCAUCCGGAACUGUCAAGCUAGAGUGCAGGAGAGGAAGGUAGAAUUCCCGGUGUAGCGGUGAAAUGCGUAGAGAUCGGGAGGAAUACCAGUGGCGAAGGCGGCCUUCUGGACUGACACUGACACUGAGGUGCGAAAGCGUGGGUAGCAAACAGGAUUAGAUACCCCGGUAGUC